rnacentral:rRNA from 1 species
UACGUAGGGUGCAAGCGUUUAAUCGGAAUUACUGGGCGUAAAGCGUGCGCAGGCGGUUAUGCAAGACAGAGGUGAAAUCCCCGGGCUCAACCUGGGAACUGCCUUUGUGACUGCAUAGCUAGAGUACGGUAGAGGGGGGAUGGAAUUCCGCGUGUAGCAGUGAAAUGCGUAGAUAUGCGGAGGAACACCGAUGGCGAAGGCAAUCCCCUGGACCUGGUACUGACGCUCAUGCACGAA